UCAAGCUACUAAGUGCAAAUGGUGAAUGCCUAGGAGCCGGGAGGCGAAGAAGGACGUGGUAAGCUGCGAAAAGCUGCGGGUAACUGCAAACAAGUACCGAUCCGCAGAUUUCCGAAUGGAGCAAUCCGGCAGUAGUAAUGUGCUGUCAUUUCUGGAUGAAUUCAUAGUCCAGGAAGGCGAACGGGGUGAAGUGAAACAUCUCAGUAACCCCAGGAAAAGAAAAUGAAGAUGAUUCCGUGAGUAGUGGCGAGCGAAACCGGAAGAGCCCAAACCGAAGGGAUUUAUCCUUUCGGGGUUGCGGGACCACGCUAAAGACCAUGAUUGAAGGCGAGCUGAACGUUUUGGAAAGAACGGCCAUAGGGUGUGAAAGCCACGUAAGCGAAGCUGUAGGUCGGUCUGUGGUAUCCCAAGUAAUGCGGUGUAAGUGGAACUCUGCAUGAAUCUGUCCCGACCAUGGGAUAAGGCUAAAUACUACCCGGCUACCGAUAGUGAACAAGUACCGCGAGGGAAAGGUGAAAAGAACCCCUGCUAGGGGAGUGAAAAGAAUCUGUAACCAUUUGCAUACAAAGUGUGGGAGCGCCAAAAAGGGCGUGACCGCCUGCCUUUUGCAUAAUGAGUCUGCGAGUUAUUAUCAGUAGCAAGCUUAAGGGAUGAAGAUUCCGGAGGCGAAGCGAAAGCGAGUGUGAAUAGCGCGAAUAGAGUUGCUGGUAAUAGACCCGAAGCGGAGGUGAUCUACAUUUGAGCAGGUUGAAGCUGUGGUAACACACAGUGGAGGACCGAACCCGUGAACGUUGAAAAGUCCUGGGAUGACUUGAGUGUGGGAGCGAAAGACUAAUCAAACCCCGUGAUAGCUGGUUCUCUCCGAAAUCGCUUGAGGGCGAGUGUUGACUAAGUACUCCAUGGAGGUAGAGCACUGGAUGGCUUAGGGGCCUUACCGGGCUACCAAAACCAAUCAAACUCCGAAUACCAUGGAACCCAUUAUUUCAGCAGUCAGGCAGUGGGGGAUAAGCUUCAUUGCCGAGAGGAAAACAGUCCAGACCGUCAGCUAAGGUGCCCAAACAAGGUUAAGUGGAAAGGAUGUGACGUCGCAAAGACAGUGAGGAUGUUGGCUUAGAGGCAGCCAUCAUUUAAACAGUGCGUAACAGCUGACUCAUCGAGCGAUGCCGCGCCGAAAAUGAUUGGCGAUUAAACCUUGUACCGAAGCUACGGAUUCUCAAAGGCCAAGGUCGUUGAGAGUGGUAGGAGAGCAUAGUUGCAGCAUUGAAGCCAAGGGGAAACCCGAGGUGGAGCACCAACUAGAGAGAAUGCAGACACGAGUAGCGAUAAAUCAGAUGAGAAUUCUGAUCGCCGUAAACCUAAGGAUUCCUGGGGCAGGUUCGUCCUCCCAGGUUUAGCCGGGAGCUAAGGCCAGGCCGUAAGGCGUAGUCGAUGCACAGAAGGUCAAUAUUCCUUCGCCGGGCUGGGGUUAGGUUAAGAUGACGCAAGCACGGGAAAACGGGUUAAGUGACCGGAUUCACAGCGCGGAAUAAUACCCGCGCGCUCCCGCAGACCCCUUGCCAAGAAAAGUCUUAACUACGCUCCCCAGUUCGCCCGUACCGUAAACCGACACAGGUGGGUGAGAUGAGUAUUCUAAGGCGCGCGAGAGAAACCUCUCUAAGGAACUAGGCAAAAUAGCCCCGUAACUUCGGGAGAAGGGGUGCCGUCCGAAAGGACGGCCACAGUAAAGUGAGCUUUGCGACUGUUUACCAAAAGCAUAGCGCUCUGCUAAGUUGUUAAAACAACGUAUAGGGCGUGACACGUGACCAAUGCGAAAAGAUUAAGGCAACUUGUUAGGCGUUUUAGCAAUAAAACGCCGAAGCUCGGAACCCAAGUCCUCGUGAAUGUCGGCCGUAACUAUAACGGUCCUAAGGUAGCGAAAUUCCUUGUCGG
rnacentral:rRNA from 1 species